rnacentral:misc_RNA from 1 species
UUGAACAUUAAAAAUCUUUCAAAUGAUCUCCAUUAAAAAUUAACGGGAAAACUGCAGUAAAUACAGAAAUAAAAAGCAUAACACAUUAAGACACCCACCUUUGUCUCGAAAAAUAAGCAAAAUUGAAAAGAAAAAUUGAAGGAGAAGAGACUAAACAUAUAUGUACCAGAGAAAAACAUAGAAACAAGAUAUCAGUACAAAAGAACUAUAACAUUGAAGUGAAACCAUCGAUGUCACUUGUGAUUGAAAAUUAGGGAUUUGAGUUCCUUGUACUUGGGCUGGAAUAAACGAGCACUUGCCAAUUAGACCAUCGAUGUCACAAGAGCAUGAGAGAGCUUGAGGGAAGCCAUCAAAGAAUUGCAUGAGGGACCAUCGAUCUCGCUAUUUGAGAGAGAUCUUAAGAGAGGAGAAUAAUCGAAGAAGAAGAGAAGGGACAUUGAUGGUAAGAGGGAGAGAGCGUGAAUUGCGAAAGAAGAAGAAGAAUCAAGAAAGGCAUAGAGCUUACCUUGAGUAAACUCGAUACAGCUUGGUUGAUUAUCUCUUCAUAUGAUUCAAUCUCAUGAAGAAAAAUGGAUGAAUUUGGAUCAUGAAUCACAUAGAAACCCAUUGGUAGGAGAGUGAAGAAGGUGGGAAUUUGUGGAGCAAAG